rnacentral:rRNA from 1 species
UACGUAGGGGGCAAGCGUUGUCCGGAAUCAUUGGGCGUAAAGAGCGUGUAGGCGGCCCGAUAAGUCCGCUGUGAAAGUCCAGGGCUCAACCCUGGGAUGCCGGUGGAUACUGUCGGGCUCGAGUCCGGAAGAGGCGAGUGGAAUUCCUGGUGUAGCGGUGAAUGCGCAGAUAUCAGGAGGAACGACCAAUGGCGAAGGCAGCUCGCUGGGACGUGACUGACGCUGAGACGCGAAAGCGUGGGGAGCAAACAGG